ensembl:lncRNA
ACUGCAAGCAAGCAGCUGCAGGUCAGGAGGGCGCACAGCAGCCCUCCUGACCUAACACGGGCACAGCACUCGGAGGUGCUCUGGUGGCACGCAGCUCUUCCUGAGCCAUCAAUUCCGAUACGCAAAUGGACAAAGUGGUGACAGAUACGCUUGAUUUACGUGAGAUGAAGCGUCUCAGCGCUGACUGUAUCUGGCUGUAGGGGAAACACCUGGCAAAGCUGCUCACUGAUCGCACCGAGACGUUUGCAAGCUGGCGCAGUGAGUCUAUCAGAUAUUGCUCAGGCCCCGUGCAGGAUGUGGUUCUGCGGCUCCCAGCACGGCACGGAGCCUCCCUGAGCUCACAGCACCCAGCAGCACGGCCUCGCUCUGCUGCGUGGCUGCAGCACACAGUGCUGGCGGCAAGAGGAGGGAAUCACCUCUCCUGCUGUGCAGCAAGGUGACUGCAGGGCUGAGUGCCGUGUCACAGCUGGGGCCACGUGGACCGGUAGAAAGCAAGACCAUCUUUUUCAAACUCCAGUGUGUUUUAUCGGGAAGUGCUCCGUCGGGCUCAGCCUGCAGGCACGCUGCUGUGCGCAUGGCCCAGGCUACAAACUGGUUGGUGGUGUUAAUCUGCGAGAAGCACAUCUGCACGUGGAGGAUCAGCUCUGGAGAGGUGUGCAGUGUAAAGAACGAACUGCUCAGGUCUUCUGCUACAGCACCAGGUACAAGAGCCUCUCACCAAAGCACAGGGCUGUGCUGUGAGCUCAGGGCACCUCCCCGAAGCUCUAUAUCACUUUCUGCCAUUUGAUGUUAUCCCAGUUCUCCUACUUCCAGAUGGAAAUGCUAUCAGUGACAGCAAUGUUCCCAGGAUGGAGCUGAGGCAGAUGUGUGUGCCAGCACACAUGCGAAGCAUAUUGCUUUCUAAAAGCAUGGUGUGAUCACUCGGUGCAGAUAAGACCAAGACUUGUUGCUCAUUUCCCCACUCCAAGAGCUGGUAGGUGGCACUGCUGGCCCUUGGAGGGGGCUGAGUCAGAGCCAGGGUGAACAGAAACUGCUUCUUGGAGCCAAUUUGGCUCCUGUGUCUUUACUUGGAGGAUGGUGAGUACAGAGAGCAGUCAGAGCUGUAUGAGCAAACAGCAGUGGUGGUGCUGCCACCAGCCCUGCCCUUCCUCUGAAGCUGCCUGCUGCUGUUCAAAGGCUGGAGCAUUAACUGCCAGUGUUGGUAUUUUAAUGCCAGUUCUCAAACCAGUUCACUUCAGUCAAAUAACGUGCAUGCAGAUGAAACGCUCUCUCUGAUCUGCAUCUGAAUGUCUGCUGCCUCCACGGCGUUGUCUGGUGAUGGUAAGAUCUGAUAAAUUCCACUUGUUUUAUCUUGAUGCAACUCAAUGGGAGAAGCAAGUGUGAGUUUUGAACACGCUGGAAGACAGGCUGGAAUCAAAAGGACGUUAAGCACGAUGCCCAAUCUGAAAAUGCACCAAACUGCUGCUCUCCAACACACGAUCAGAUGGUAGGAAAGGCUCACUGACGUUUUUGUGGUACAGACUUAAAGGCAUUAAAGCUCAACACCAGCAGUGGCUUCACCAGCAAGAGACGAGGAAUGCACUGAAACCAACAAAACGAGAAUAGAAGGUAAAGAAAUGGUUACCAUGAAACAGAGAAACAUUUGUACAACGGGCUGUGCUCAUAAUCACGCCUUUGGUUUUGUACCAAGUCAUUCAUGGUACAAGUUGCAGGAUGUAACUACUGAAUUCCUCUUUUCUCCUUCAAAACUAGUAAGAGUUGAAUGUAACCACCAUUUCAAAUAACCCUUGUUUCUCUGAACUGUUAAUUUAGAGUCCAAACUUGCAGUCUCUAUAAGUCUUCUAUAGAAGCACCUACCUAAUUCUUCUUUAAGUCUUAUUCUGACAGAGUAAAGCUUUAUUUCUCCAGCCUGAGUAAACUGCAUUGCCAC